rnacentral:rRNA from 1 species
UACGUAGGGUGCGAGCGUUGUCCGGAUUUAUUGGGCGUAAAGAGCUCGUAGGCGGUUUGUCGCGUCGGCCGUGAAAUCUCCACGCUUAACGUGGAGCAUGCGGUCGAUACGGGCAGACUUGAGUUCGGUAGGGGAGACUGGAAUUCCUGGUGUAGCGGUGAAAUGCGCAGAUAUCAGGAGGAACACCGGUGGCGAAGGCGGGUCUCUGGGCCGAUACUGACGCUGAGGAGCGAAAGCGUGGGGAGCGAACAGG